UACGAAGGGGGCUAGCGUUGCUCGGAAUCACUGGGCGUAAAGGGUGCGUAGGCGGGUCUUUUAAGUCAGGGGUGAAAUCCUGGAGCUCAACUCCAGAACUGCCUUUGAUACUGAAGAUCUUGAGUUCGGGAGAGGUGAGUGGAACUGCGAGUGUAGAGGUGAAAUUCGUAGAUAUUCGCAAAGAACACCAGUGGCGAAGGCGGCUCACUGGCCCGAUACUGACGCUGAGGCACGAAAGCGUGGGGAGCAAACAGGG
rnacentral:rRNA from 1 species